rnacentral:rRNA from 1 species
GCGGCGGACGGGUGAGUAACACGUGGGUAACCUGCNNAUAAGACUGGGAUAACUCCGGGAAACCGGGGCUAAUACCGGAUAAUAUUUUGAACUGCAUGGUUCGAAAUUGAAAGGCGGCUUCGGCUGUCACUUAUGGAUGGACCCGCGUCGCAUUAGCUAGUUGGUGAGGUAACGGCUCACCAAGGCAACGAUGCGUAGCCGACCUGAGAGGGUGAUCGGCCACACUGGGACUGAGACACGGCCCAGACUCCUACGGGAGGCAGCAGUAGGGAAUCUUCCGCAAUGGACGAAAGUCUGACGGAGCAACGCCGCGUGAGUGAUGAAGGCUUUCGGGUCGUAAAACUCUGUUGUUAGGGAAGAACAAGUGCUAGUUGAAUAAGCUGGCACCUUGACGGUACCUAACCAGAAAGCCACGGCUAACUACGUGCCAGCAGCCGCGGUAAUACGUAGGUGGCAAGCGUUAUCCGGAAUUAUUGGGCGUAAAGCGCGCGCAGGUGGUUUCUUAAGUCUGAUGUGAAAGC